CAUCUCCCAGGAUCGUGUCUGGAGAGUGGCUAGUACUCUGCCAGCUUCGGAGACGGGAGGGAAAGCAAGCCUGGCAGAGGGACCCAUUCCAUUCCCAGCUGUCUCAGUAGCUGGUGAUUGGAAGACACUCCACAACAAUG